UACGGAUAGUGUGACCCUCUUAAUGGAUUGAGGGCGAAGCGAAGCGGCUGGUUACCAGGCAAAUCCGGUAACCUUAAGGCUAGAGCGUGACAGGUAAGCGAAAUCUAAGGAAAGUAGCGAAGCACAAGAUGACGGCUUCCAGGAAAAGCUUCUGGCAAUGCAUAUGCGGCCCGUACCAAAACCGACACAGGUGGGCAGGGAGAGAAUCUCGAGGUGAGCGAGAGAACUGUUGCCAAGGAACUCGGCAAAGUGACUCCGUAAGUUAGCGAGAAGGAGUGCUUAAGCAAUUAAGCCGCAGUGAAGAGGCCCAAGCGACUGUUUAACUAAAACACAGCUCUCUGCGAAGUCGCAAGACGAAGUAUAGGGGGUGACACCUGCCCGGUGCUGGAAGGUUAAGAGGAUCUGUUAAGAGCGAUCUGAAGCAGUGAUCCGAAGCACCAGUGAACGGCGGCCGUAACGAUAACGGUCCUAAGGUAGCGAAAUUCCUUGUCAGGUAAGUUCUGACCCGCACGAAAGGUGUAACGAUUUGGGCGCUGUCUCGGCAGCAGACUCGGUGAAAUCUUAGUACCUGUGAAAAUGCAGGUUACCCGCAACUAGACGGAAAGACCCCAUGGAGCUUUACUGCAGCCUGAUAUUGAAUUCUGGUCAUACAUGUACAGGAUAGGUGGGAGACAAAGAGACGUGCACGCCAGUGUACGAGGAGUCGACGUUGGGAUACCACUCUUGUGUGACCGGGGUUCUAGCCUGGUAUCGAGAACAGGUACGGGGAGAGUGUCAGGUGGGCAGUUUGACUGGGGCGGUCGCCUCCCAAAGAGUAACGGAGGCGCCCAAAGGUACGCUCAGAUUGGAUGGAAGCCAAUCGACGAGUGCAAUUGCAGAAGCGUGCUUGACUGUGAGACAAACAAGUCGAACAGGGACGAAAGUCGGGAAUAGUGAUCCGGCGGUGCCGAAUGGAAGGGCCGUCGCUCAACGGAUAAAAGCUACCCUGGGGAUAACAGGCUGAUCUCGCCCAAGAGUUCACAUCGACGGCGAGGUUUGGCACCUCGAUGUCGGCUCAUCGCAUCCUGGAGCUGGAUUCGGUUCCAAGGGUUGGGCUGUCCGCCCAUUAAAGCGGUACGCGAGCUGGGUUCAGAACGUCGUGAGACAGUUCGGUCCCUAUCUGUUGUGGGCGAAGGAGAUCUGCGGAGAGCUGUCCUCAGUACGAGAGGACCGGGAUGGACCUACCGCUGGUGCACCGGUUGUUCCGCCAGGGGCAUAGCCGGGUAGCUAAGUAGGGAAAGGAUAAGCGCUGAAAGCAUCUAAGCACGAAGCCUACUCCAAGAUGAGAUCUCCCAUUCGCAAGAAGUAAGACCCCUUAAAGACGAUAAGGUAGAUAGGCCAGGGAUGGAAGUGCAGUGAUGUACGGAGUUGACUGGUACUAAUCGGUCGAGGACUUAAUCG
rnacentral:rRNA from 1 species